GCUCCCGUGGUGAAAUGGAUAUCACAUCGGUCUUCGGAACCGCUGUUCUGGGUUCGAAUCCUGGCGGGAGCAC
rnacentral:tRNA from 1 species